AUUGAACGCUGGCGGCAGGCCUAACACAUGCAAGUCGAACGGUAACAGGAAGAGGCUUGCUUCUUUGCUGACGAGUGGCGGGCGGGUGAGAAAUGUCUGGGAAACUGCUUGAUGGCGGGGGAUAACUACUGGAAACGGUACCUAAUACCGCAUAACGUCGCAAGCCCAAAGAGGGGGACCUUCGGGCCGCUUGCCAUCGGCUGUGCCCAGAUGGGAUUAGCUAGUAGGUGGGGUAACGGCUCACCUAGGCGACGAUCCCUAGCUGGUCUGAGAGGAUGACCAGCCACACUGGAACUGAGACACGGUCCAGACUCCUACGGGAGGCAGCAGUGGGGAAUAUUGCACAAUGGGCGCAAGCCUGAUGCAGCCAUGCCGCGUGUAUGAAGAAGGCCUUCGGGUUGUAAAGUACUUUCAGCGGGGAGGAAGGGAGUAAAGUUAAUACCUUUACUCAUUGACGUUACCCGAAGAAGAAGCACCGGCUAACUCCGUG
rnacentral:rRNA from 1 species